UGGAGCCCAUUAGCGAGCUUGAAAACCAAAACCACAAGAGAAAAAUGAGCCUAAAUGCAAUGAAACAGAGCAGAUUAGUCAACAAUCAAGUAAAAUCUCAACAAACUAAAUCAUCAAACAAAGACACCAAGAAGAAGAAGAAGAAAGAUUAAAACUUUACUGAAGACAUGAACAAAGCUAUCAUCUUUCAUGAAACCCAUUAGCUAACUUGAAAAUCAAAACACCACUAAAACAAAUUACAGAACAGAGCAGAUUAAUGGAUAAUAAGGUAAAGACGAAGAAGUAAGAGAUGAAACAAAAAAAGUGGAAACCUUUGAAGGGUUUUACGGCAAGGGACGAGGAAGAAGGAGCAGCACACGAGCUUAAACUAAGACAUAGAACAUCUAUAGACCAAUCUGGAGAUAAACAAAGAGAAAAACCGUGACGAUCUCGCCGGCCCGCAACAAUUACCCAUGGUUUCAACAAUGACGGAUCAAAUCAAACCGAUCGUAGUUCGAGAGAUCGAGGGAACUUAAUCGAUGAAAAGGUGCUAACCGAUCUCGUUAAUCUGCCUGAAGCUCUGCUUCCCUUCCACCAUGGAUGAUAUCGCUUCAACUCUCUCUCUCUUCUCAAAGAGAUGAAAGCCCAGAGAGCAACACGUGGCUCAGAAU
rnacentral:lncRNA from 1 species